UACGGGGGGGGCAAGCGUUGUUCGGAAUUACUGGGCGUAAAGGGCUCGUAGGCGGCCAACUAAGUCAGACGUGAAAUCCCUCGGCUUAACCGGGGAACUGCAUCUGAUACUGGAUGGCUUGAGUUUGGGAGAGGGAUGCGGAAUUCCAGGUGUAGCGGUGAAAUGCGUAGAUAUCUGGAGGAACACCGGUGGCGAAGGCGGCAUCCUGGACCAACACUGACACUGAAAAGCGAAAGCCAGGGGAGCAAACGGG
rnacentral:rRNA from 1 species